UACGGAGGGUGCGAGCGUUGUCCGGAAUUAUUGGGCGUAAAGGGCUCGUAGGCGGUCUGUUGCGUCGGGAGUGAAAACUCAGGGCUUAACCCUGAGCCUGCUUCCGAUACGGGCAGACUAGAGGUAUGCAGGGGAGAACGGAAUUCCUGGUGUAGCGGUGAAAUGCGCAGAUAUCAGGAGGAACACCGGUGGCGAAGGCGGUUCUCUGGGCAUUACCUGACGCUGAGGAGCGAAAGCCAGGGGAGCAAACGGG
rnacentral:rRNA from 1 species